GCCGGGGUAGCUCAGCCAGGUGGAGCACCCGACCGCGCCUGCGCGCGGGGUGAGGCUGUUAACCGGGGGGUCCCGGGUUCAAAUCCCGGCCCCGGCGCCA
rnacentral:tRNA from 1 species